rnacentral:misc_RNA from 1 species
CGAAUCGGCAUCUGAUGAUUCUCCUAACUCUUCAUCGUCGAAGUGUAACGCGUAACGUUCAACCCUAUCAAACAUGUUAUAAUGCCGGACAAAGAGUAAAGGACGGCGUCCGGCGGUGCUGAUGUGGGUGUUGUGAUGGAGAGAAAUGAAAUUAGGGUUUAUGAUUAUGGAAUACCAUGAUUUGCAUACGGUGGUGCAUUGAACAAG